CUCAGGUCGUCGUCGCACCACUCGUGAGUGACUCCUGUGGCCUUCUCUCCCCUUCUUCCUUCCCAUUGUCUCCCUCCUCUGCACCACACCGCCGUUCCAGCGAGUCCUCGUCGACUUCUACGGCAGCAGCUCGAGGCACCCUCGCUGCAUCACUCGAUCCCCCAUCGCUUCUGUUUGCCGCAGACGCUGCAACAGUGCCGCUGGCCGCGCUCGCCGCUCGCCAAUGGCUCGGCGGCCGACGACUUCGAGCCGCGGCACUGGCCAACGCCUCUUCUGGCCUUGAUGACUCGUCCGGACACACCCAUAUGGCCAUAUGUGCGCUUCGUGCUUGCUGUUUCUUUGUUCCUUCUUGUCCCUGCUCUUGCCGGUUCUCGUGGUUAGAUAUUUUCUU
rnacentral:misc_RNA from 1 species